rnacentral:piRNA from 1 species
UGAGGACCUGAGGUCGUAGGUGGAUC